GCCAGUUAGAAGACCAACAUUAAGAAGAGAGGUAAUUUGGAUAUGAGCUCAAGCCACAUGCUACAACCUCUUCCCUUGUAUCAUCACUGUGCUGUUCCAGCUGCUGGGUGAGCUAGUUUCAGCCUGAUCAGCUCAUCAACUAGGUCGCUGAAUGCUAUUACUGGUACUAGUGCCUGUGCCAGGAAAGGGACGGGAGUACAUAGCCAGAGGGCAAGAGUUUGGUAUGCUGUUCAGACUUCAACCAAUUUCAGCUUCGGAAGAGCCCUGCCUACAGUUUCAUUUGACUGUUUACUUGUUAUACUUCACCAGAGGAAGGGCUGGCUAUUUGUCUUGAAGGCUUUUUGCUUGUAUGAGGGUUGUCAGCAAAGUUCCAUGAGGAUUUGUGUAGUGUUCAUGUAAGAACAGGUAAAAGGUAGCGCUAGUAAGGUGACAUGUUUUGCUGAUGAUACCAUAGUACUCAGACUAGUCAAAAAUAAGCCUUACUAUGAGGAAGUACAGAAGGAGCAUAUUACAAUGAUUGACUGGACAAGAAAAUGACAAAUGAAAUGUAUUGUUUAUAAAUGCAAACUAAUGCAUGUAGAAAAGAAGUUUUAACUUUGUGUACCUGGCAGUCAUCUCUAAAUGAGAAAUUAGAACUCAGAAGGGGUGUAUGGAGUAAUGUUCUCUGAAAAAGUUUGUUUUGCUAGGGAUUUUGGGGAGAAACUGAAAACAAUACGAGGAACAUUGUAAUUAUGCCUACAUUUUGACUACUGAAAGUAAUUUUGAGCACCCACCUCAGUGAGCAAUGUAGUACAUCUAGAAUUUUAGGGUCAUCAGUAUUGAUUUCUGCAUGAGGAGAGGUGUGAGAAAUUACUAUUCCCUGCUUUUAAUGUAAGAACUAGGCAAUGUCAAAUAAAAUCAGGCAGAAGUUUUAAACAAACAAACAGUGCUUUUUGAUAAAGUGCAUAAUCCAGCAGUAUGUGCUGACAGUGUAAAUUAGCUUUUAAAAAGUAAGACAUCUGUUCAGGGAGGCAGAGGUGUUCAGAUUGGAUGUGUGCUUUCAGGUGGGUAACAUCCUGGUUGUUCCACUUACUGGGCUGUGGUUCACACCUUGGAGCAGCCUGGGAGUGCACCAAUGGAUUCCCCUUCAGAUUAAACUAACCAGAAUAUAUGCUUCAAUCUCCAAUGAACAUUCAGUGCCCAGGCCAAACUAGACAUAUUCUGAAAAGCAAACCCUUCUGAAGUGCGUAGUGUCAGUGUGGGGUCCCACUUGUGUUAGUCUACUUUAUUUGCUGCUGCAAAUGCAGCCACAGACUCCACUCCAGCUCAGUCAAUUAAUGACUUUGAUGCUGCUGGCUAGAAGUUAUGUUAAGUAUGUAUUGGCAGUACUUCGGGUACUUACACUGUUUGCAUAUUUUUUCUUUAUGCUUCCGUUACUGGCUGUUCUUGAUGUGUUAGGUGGCCUGACCCAGUGUCUUCCUAUAUUCUAUUUCUGUUUGUGCAAAAGUAAAUUUUGCAAGUACAAGAUGUGUCAGAGUACAGGUAGAGAGGCCUAGUAAAGAUUUGAUCUAUGUUGUUUGCUUUAAAGACAAGAAAUGGGGCUUAUUUUUGUAAUGAAGAUGUAUGUGGUCACCAGCUGGUGCGAAGCAGCAUAAUUGCACAAAUCAAUUAAGACAAACCAGGUGGUACUAGCUGAGAAUCUGACCCUUUGUGAAUAAACACCACACAGUUCUGCAGGCCCGGAGUCUAAGGUUAAAACUUUAUGAAAAUGAGAAGUGUUUGUUUCAAAGAUAUUUUAUUCAAUUGGAAGUGGAAUGAAAAAAUCACAGAACAGGUUAAGUUGCAAUAAUGUGACCCGUCUUUCCUUUUCAUGUUGUGAGCGAUGCUUUUGAGUGACAUUUUUGGAGGCUGGGGGGGGAUCAGUGUAGAUGACCAGAAGGAUAGGGCUGUACCAAAUGCAUUGUUAUCUUUGUCAUCUCUCAGCUGCAUCAUCUAUGAAUGAUAGUACAUAACUGCUUGUCGUACAUAACAUCAGCAUUGUUGGCAGAGUUCUAGCCCUAUUUGUUUAAAAUUCACUGCCUACAACUGUGUUAGGUUUGGGGCUAGAAUAUUUAACCAUUUCCUGGUUUAUUAUUUUUUUCUAGAAAGAAGAAACUCCCUAAAUCAAAUAUGAAAUUAAUUUACCUGCAUCACCUUUGUAACAGAAUAUUACACUGGGACCUUUACAACAUUCCUGUGAGACAGAGUAUAGACAGAGGCAUUUAUAGGAUUACAAAAGUAAUCUGUGAUGCAGCUGGGAUUUGAGCUUUGGUCCCCAAAGGGCCAGAUGCUGCCUUUUUGGCUAGGCUAAUGCCCUGCCAUGCCAAUUUUCUCCAUUAGGCAAGAUGCUCUUUAUAGUAGAGAUCACCACUUGAACUAGUGGGUAUCACAAAAAAAGAUGGAUAAAUGCAUUUCAAAAACAGAAUGGGAAAUGUGAAAUACAGAGAAACAUGAAAGGGAAUAUAUUUGUGUGUGUGUGUGUGUUCACUUCCUCAUUCGGUACCUUAAGUGAUUAUUUUACAUAUUAAGGAGUGUAUAGUGUCUGAGAAGAAGACAUUGUAGGCUGUCAGAGAAAAGAAAAGCAAUUAAUGUAGCCAGAUACAUUAUUUCCUGUUAAAUAUAUUUGUGAAGUACUAGUAUCGUGGAAAUGCAGUGGGGAAAAAAAAAUGAGGCAUGAGCCCACCUUCACCAGGAGAUGGUGCUGUUUAAUUUUUCACUAAUUCUGAAUUUCGUUCAACUGAUGCUGUCAUUUUCAAGGUGUGAAUUAGACCAAAUCCUGCACACUUUGUUAGGGAAGAAAACCUACGGUAAAAGGAACUGCUUUGGGUAAGGGCUGCAGUACUUGCUACUUUCUCAUGCUCCAGACUGCAAGUUGCAGCCCAGAGGCAGUCUGUGGGACGUUUCUGCCUGCCUCAUCUCCUCGCUAGAUGCGGUGGUCGUGAAAACGUAAGCUUGUAAAAACCCCGUUGUUAAUUGUCUGAGCUCUUGUUUUCAUGCCAACAAGGCAGGCCACUGCACAUCUUUGCUCUGCACUCUGCAGAGCCCUCACCAAAGCUCUCUGAGAGAGGCAAGACAGGAAACUGAAAUCUGCAUCUGAUAGCAUCAGCUCCUGCAGAUGAACUACCCUGAACGUUGCUUCUCUCCUGAGGGUACCUCGUUCUGAAAAUUACUUCAGGUCAUUAUAUGUUUAAACAAAGAUACCUUUAGCAAAUGAACGCCACUUACUAGUUUUAUGAACAAUCUAGAAUAUUUAUUUUGUUUCUUCAUGACGUUUUGCUUCAUCCUCUAUCAGUAUGUUUGGCAAGGCAGCAGCCUGUCUUUAAACUACAAUAUUCAGUUGAUCUUAAUUGUUGGAUCACUGUAUUUAGUUUAAUUUUUGACUCAGUUUUGCGUAAAUCAGAGGUAAAUCCACUGUUUUCAUGGAGUGGCAUCUUUCUGAAAUGUUUUAUCAUAAAAGACUGAACAAAACUUCCAGGCCUUGAUAAGACCCUUAAUACCUGGUUUAGUUAAUUGUGCAGAUGUACCUGGGUGGGUGUUUCUCUGUUGUAUCUUAGAGGUAUAUUUUAUGCAUUAUCCAAAUAUGUAAAGACCUUGCAUCUACUGAGUCUUUUAGAUAAAUCAAAUUUCUACAUUUGAAAACGAGUCUAUAACAAACAAUAUAUUUUGUAACUGAUAAAUCAGUUUAUACAAUUUCUUUACACCGAAGACAAUUGCUAACAUACUGUACCUGGUGAGCUAUUUUUGUAAUUUGUUGUUAUUUUGCUCUGUGUAACCACCUGAUUCCCUACGUAUAGCGUGACUGGGUUGGACAAAUGCCAAAAGCUGUACUGAGAAGACAAGACUUUGAUGAUGUCCCAACCCCAUGUCAAUUAGAGAAUUACAGUCCCAAGCAUCCUUAGCCAUUAAGGAGACCAGAUCCAGCAACAGACCAUUUUUCUAACCAGCGACCUCAAUAUGAGAAAUUUGGCUAUCCAAGCAAUAAUUUGCCUUAUGCAGGUUAUGCAGAGGGGAGACAGUAUCAGAAAUACUAAGUACCAGUGCUUCCUAUAUCUGAAACAUCUUGGAAUGCUGUGUGAUGAAUGGACGAUCCAAAUGCUGAGAGAUCAGUAAGACCUUGUGGGCUGGGACAUAGAGGAAAUAGCUAUAACUAUUAGAAAGCACUAAAAGUUAUUGCAAAGAAAAGAAUGGUUUGAAUCCACAUCGAAGGGAAAGGGGGGUAAGGGGUUGCAUCUUUUCAUAUUUCUCAGAAAGGCUUGUCAAAGACAACUUUUGCCAGGUCUGUUUACCAACCUGAAAGCGAUCACAGAAUUUGAGAGUGUUCAAUUUGAUACUCCACCGCUCCUUUGAAAAGGAACAGGAGAAAGAGAUAAGGCAGUCCUGUCAAAUAUACGUGGUGCUGGCAAGAGAAGAGCUAUCUGGAAGUUAUUUGUGAAUGAACUUAGCUGAAUAUGGAUCCAGGUGGUGGAAGUCUUGGACUGCAAACACAAGAAUCCAAAAUGCCUCACACUAUGAUUAUGCAGGAUUUUGUGGCUGGAAUGGCUGGCACUGCUCAUAUUGAUGGAGACCAUAUUGUUGUAUCAGUCCCCGAAGCUGUCCUAGUUUCUGAUGUUGUUACUGAUGAUGGAAUAACUCUUGAUCAUGGCUUAGCUGCUGAAGUUGUCCAAGGACCUGACAUCAUCACUGAAACUGAUGUUGUAACAGAAGGUGUAAUUGUUCCCGAUUCUGUUUUGGAAGCUGAUGUUGCUAUUGAAGAAGCUUUAGAUACCAGUGAUCAUGUUUUGACUUCUGAUCUAAUAACAGAAACUGUUAGAGUUCCUGAUCAGGUUUUUGUGGCUGACCUUGUCACGGGUCCUGAUGGACAUUUGGAGCAUGUGGUGCAAGACUCUGUGUCAGGAGCCAACUCUCCUACAAUGGUUUCAGAAGAAGUUCUUGUAACGAACUCAGAUUCUGAAGCAGUCAUUCAAGCAGCUGGUACUGUUCCUGGCUCCACAGUGACUAUAAAAACAGAAGACGAUGAUGAUGGCAAGAGUACAUCUGAAGACUACUUAAUGAUAUCUUUGGAUGAUGUUGGAGAAAAAUUGGACCAUAUAGGAAGCACUCCCUUGAAAAUCAGUACUGAGGUGACAAAUGAUGAUGUUGCUAAAGAUGACGGUUUUGGUUCAGAAGUUAUCAAAGUAUACAUAUUUAAAGCUGAAGCUGAAGAUGAUGUCGAAAUAGGUGGGACAGAAAUUGUCACAGAGAGUGACUUUCACAAUGGACAUUCUGUAGCUGGAGUAAUUGAACAAGGAGGUGUUGGUAGAAUGCAGCGAGAAAAAAUGGUUUACAUGGCUGUUAAGGACUCUUCUCAGGAAGAUGAAGAUAUUAGCUGUGCUGAAAUAGCAGAUGAAGUUUAUAUGGAAGUUAUUGUAGGUGAAGAAGAAGCUACAUCACUUCCAGACACACAGCUUGAAGACUCUGGCGUGAAUAAAACUUUUGUCCCUGUUGCUUGGGCUGCUGCUUAUGGAGAUGAAAGAAGGCUACCCAGAAGAUACGAAGAUGGUCAAGCGGCAGGAAAUAACUUGGAUACACGAUUAGAAAACAAAAACGGUAAUGCAACACAAUACCUGCAGAUUUGUGAUAGCAUUAGCACUAAUAGAGUGCUAAAACAAAAAACCAAGAAAAGGAGGAGAGGAGAGGCCAGGCAAUGGCAAACAGCUGUUAUAAUAGGUCCUGAUGGACAGCCCUUAACAGUUUACCCUUGUCAUAUUUGUGGGAAAAAAUUUAAAUCCAGAGGAUUCUUGAAAAGGCAUAUGAAGAAUCAUCCAGAUCAUAUGAUUAAGAAGAAAUACCAGUGUACAGACUGUGACUUUACAACUAACAAAAAAGUAAGUUUCCACAAUCAUCUGGAAAGCCAUAAACUUAUAAAUAAAGUUGAUAAAACCCAUGAGUUUACAGAAUAUACAAGAAGAUACAGAGAAGCGAGCCCAUUGAGUUCUAAUAAACUAAUAUUGAGGGACAAGGAGCCUAAGCUACACAAGUGCAAAUAUUGUGACUAUGAAACUGCAGAGCAGGGACUACUCAAUAGACAUCUACUUGCAGUUCAUAGUAAGAACUUCCCUCAUGUCUGUGUGGAGUGUGGGAAAGGAUUCCGUCAUCCAUCAGAGCUGAAAAAGCAUAUGAGGACCCACACUGGGGAAAAGCCAUACCAGUGUCAGCACUGUGUCUUCAGGUGUGCUGAUCAGUCCAAUCUGAAAACUCACAUCAAAACCAAACACGGGACUGAUUUGCCAUUUAAAUGUGAGCACUGUCCCCAGGCGUUUACAGAUGAAAAAGAACUGCAGCAGCACACAGAAUUAUUUCAAGGGCAUAAGACUCAUCAGUGUCCACACUGUGACCAUAAGAGCACCAAUUCAAGUGACCUGAAGCGACACAUUAUUUCAGUUCACACAAAGGAUUUUCCCCACAAAUGCGAGCAGACUGAAGAUGAUCAUUCUGACUCUGUGACAAAGCACACAUCGGUGCUGGCUCAUUUUUCCACCUUACAGAUGGACAGAAUAAUCAGCGUAUGGACAAUGAAACCUAGCUAAGAAGAAAAGACUGUGGAAACAAGGUCUGUCAAAGAGAGGAAAAGCCUUAAGACUUAACCCACGCAGUGUUAAGGUUAAUGGUUUACUACCCAUAUGCUGUUAAAUUUCAAACAGUUUAAAAAAAUAAGUUUGUCGGACUUUUUGCUUGAGCAGUGGUUUUAAAAUUCAGUAGCUUAUGAUACCGCUGGGAGAGUGUGUGCUUCUACUUGGCCCUUUGCUGGUUCUGUCCAGUGCUGCUUAGAUGUUUAUGACUGAGGCUGGACUUAACGUGGUGUUGGGUAGUUCAAAAUUCCCACCAGUGCUUCUGCUCCUUCUUCCAGUACUGACGUCUUUCUGUAUAGGUGCAGAUGUCGAGGCUUCUUGUAACUGUGUGCCCAAGCUGGAUGAUGAAUAGGCAAAGGAGGGGUUUGAAGAUGUUAGGAGGGCUCUGGUGGUUUAAAAAAAAAAAAGGAAUCUUGUGAUGGAUGGAAGGAGGAAGGAAUUGACAAGAAAAGGCCUGUGCAAUGUGUUGCAGGUGUGACAUUGGUGUUGUGGAGGAAAGGACGUAAAAGUUGGAGUUAGGGAAAGGAAAAUAAAAGAAUGUGCCUGCUAGGCAAAGAGGAACCUGAGAGGAUUAUAUGCAGUGCUCUUACUUUGUGUAUGUUUGAGUAAUUCAGGAUCUUUUUAUAUACAUCUUGUGCAUGUAUUCAUCCAACAGAAGAUAAGACUGGUAGAACCUUUUUUUUUCCUUUUUUUUUUUUUUUUUUGCCUUCCAACCAUGUUUCCCCAGUAACUGAAAUUCUGUAUUAAAGCAAGUGGUCAGCUGGUAUUCUUAACAAAAGAUUUUACUAGGAAGUGGCAUUUUUACUCUUCUGAAAUGUAAGAAUAAAACUUCACCUGAAUCCUCAGCAGUUUGAGGCACAGUUCCUAGAUUCUUUUCAGUGCACUUUCCCAGUAAAUAUUUAAGAGAAUUUGUGAGGGCUGUUGUAUUAUUACCAUGGAGGUGUCAUGAUUUUAAAAAUGCUUCAUGUCAAACGACAGUAAAAUUUGUAUCUCAGUACUUCCACAGAUCCCUGCUUUGUAUAGUCUGUACUUCUGCCCUGCCUGGCUCCCUCCCCUGAGCUGGCAGCAAACCGCCUUCUGUUACCCAAACUGAUGAAGCCUUUAGGAUGGGAUGAAGUGCUCUACAGGCAGGUCCUGCUUAUUCAUUUUCAAAGUGAUGGUAGGAAACAAGUGAAGGAGAGACACUACCACCUGUAAGCCUUGCAAGUGUUCUGACUUAAAUGUUGAAUUGAAUGAUAAAAGUUGGUGGUAUUGUAUUUUAUUACUUGUCCUGAAAAUUCUGACUGGUAUCUCCCAUCGUUGUUGUGAAGUUGCAUGAUCUCUGUUCUUUUAAAGGUACUCUUUAGUAGACAUGAUAUCUUUCGUGCAUACGUACUUUCCUUAGCAAAGUUUACGUAUGUCCUGUCUUUUGCCAUUUUCAGCAAGGGCUUCGAGCUGUUUUGCUGAAACUAAAAACCAGUUCUUGCUUGUCAAAUUGUUCCAAAUCUGUCCCUGCAGCAACACUGACAGGGUCAGCUACCUUUCCCAGCGUUUAUGGUAGGAUGCCACCCCGCAAUACCAGGAGUAGGAAAGGUGACGUGUGCUGUAAAGCUGUUCACUACCUGGGCGCACAGCAUUGAGGAAGUUCAGCUGUUCUUCACUGUGUUUGGGUUUCUCCUCUGCCUGCUCCCAUGGUGCUGUGUGUGAUGUACAAACACAUCGUGGUUGCUUGAGCAAGCAGUGAGUUUCACAAACGUGUGGAAGGGUUGCUCUAAAACAUCAGAUUUGUUUACUGCAUUUUUGUUGUUGUUUGAAUGACAGACUAAGAACUCCCAAAAGCCAGGAGCAGUUAAAGGUGAUUCAUGUCUUGAUCGUCAUCUGUAUUUUCCUUUCCUCAGGUUUCAAAUGCCCACAAUUAAAGGUAAUGAAAUUGAGAGAGAAAAUACGGAAGAACAGCAGCAGAGUACUCUCAAGGUAAAGCUUCUUCCGAGCUCUUUGUGCAAUGCUUCCAACUAGUCAAGCCCAGCUGAGACCACGGCCAAGACCACCAUUGAUUCAGGACUGGCUGAAGAAUAGUCAUGUCAAGAAAAACUGAAGUCCACAAAAGAGCGGCAUACCACUCUCUCCUGAGCAAAAACAUGCGACAAAGUCUUGGACAGUUCUAGACAAUGUCUGCAAUCACAGCACACAAAGUAGUUACCUGCAACAGACACACAAACUCUGCUGUUUACUUACAACAGGUGUAUGGUGCUUAAUUACCCUACUGCGAGUUUGAACAAAAAGUUUUGAAAUGGGAGAUUAGCAAUUUUACGUAUCUGUAAAGUUUUGUUCUCUGCAUACAAAACAAAAAUACACUGUGAAUAGUAAAACAUUCAGCAAAUGAUUCUUACCGGUUCACAGGUUUGAACUGUUACCCUCCUCACUGUAUUUCCUCCACAGUCAUCGCUCACAGAGACUGGAAUUAUUUCACAAGGGUUACUGGUCUGUGUCUGUUGGCACUGGUGAGUGACUUGUGACUGCUCAGAGUGCUGGAAGGGCUGGGCAACAUGGCACUGAUCGGCUUGCUGGGGAAUCUGACACUGGUGCGAAAACUGAUACUGCUUCUCCUAGAAACAAGAAUGGAUUUUUUUUAAGCUGCUGGACACAUCUUAAUGAGAUGGAAGCUUAAUAUGACUAUAUAAAUGAAUGAAAUGCGUUUUUGCAUGGAAUGACUGAUGACAGUUUCAGAUAUUUUAAUAAUCCUAAUAAAAUGGCUUUUUUUCC